rnacentral:rRNA from 1 species
CCCUUAGAUGUUCUGGGCCGCACGCGCGCUACACUGUUCGACGCAGCGAGUCUUAACCUUGACCGAAAGGUUUGGGUAAUCUUCAGCAAAGUCGAACGUGAUGGGGAUCGAUCAUUGCAAUUAUUGAUCUUGAACGAGGAAUUCCUAGUAAGUGCAAGUCAUCAGCUUGCGCUGAUUACGUCCCUGCCCUUUGUACACACCGCCCGUCGCUACUACCGAUUGAAUGGUUUAGUGAGAUCUCUGGAUUGACGCUGGCUAGGGGGCGACCCUUGGCCAGACUGUUGAGAAACUGCUCAAACUUGAUCAUUUAGAGGAAGUAAAAGUCGUAACA